GAUGAACGCUGGCGGCGUGCUUAACACAUGCAAGUCGAACGAAGCACUUUAUUUGAUUUCCUUCGGGACUGAUUAUUUUGUGACUGAGUGGCGGACGGGUGAGUAACGCGUGGGUAACCUGCCUUGUACAGGGGGAUAACAGUUGGAAACGGCUGCUAAUACCGCAUAAGCGCACGGCAUCGCAUGAUGCAGUGUGAAAAACUCCGGUGGUAUAAGAUGGACCCGCGUUGGAUUAGCUAGUUGGUGAGGUAACGGCCCGCCAAGGCGACGAUCCAUAGCCGACCUGAGAGGGUGACCGGCCACAUUGGGACUGAGACACGGCCCAAACUCCUACGGGAGGCAGCAGUGGGGAAUAUUGCACAAUGGGCGAAAGCCUGAUGCAGCGACGCCGCGUGAGCGAAGAAGUAUUUCGGUAUGUAAAGCUCUAUCAGCAGGGAAGAUAAUGACGGUACCUGACUAAGAAGCACCGGCUAAAUACGUGCCAGCAGCCGCCGUAA
rnacentral:rRNA from 1 species